rnacentral:rRNA from 1 species
ACGGGGAGCAGCAGGCGCGAAACCUUUACACUGCACGCCAGUGCGAUAAGGGAAUCCCAAGUGCGCAGGCAUAGAGCCUGCGCUUUUGUACACCGUAGGGAGGUGUACGAAUAAGGGCUGGGCAAGACCGGUGCCAGCCGCCGCGGUAAUACCGGCAGCCCGAGUGAUGGCCGAUCUUAUUGGGCCUAAAGCGUCCGUAGCUGGCCGCACAAGUCCAUCGGAAAAUCCACCCGCCCAACGGGUGGGCGUCCGGUGGAAACUGUGUGGCUUGGGACCGGAAGGCGCGACGGGUACGUCCGGGGUAGGAGUGAAAUCCCGUAAUCCUGGACGGACCGCCGAUGGCGAAAGCACGUCGCGAGGACGGAUCCGACAGUGAGGGACGAAAGCCAGGGUCUCGAACCGGAUUAGAUACCCGGGUAGUCCUGGCCGUAAACAAUGCCUGCUAGGUGUGGCUCCCGCUACGAGCGGGUGCUGUGCCGUAGGGAAGCCGCUAAGCAGGCCGCCUGGGAAGUACGUCCGCAGGGAUGAAACUUAAAGGAAUUGGCGGGGGAGCAC